GACGAACGUUGGCGGCGUGCUUAAUACAUGCAAGUCAACUGAAGCAGUGGUAGCAAUAUCGCUGUGGAGGUGGCGCACGGGUGAGUAACACGUAGGUAAUCUGCCUUCAGGUCUGGCAUAACUCCGGGAAACCGGGGCUAAUAGCAGAUGAUGCAGCGGCUCGACAUCGAGACAGUUGUUAAAGCUAUGGCGCCUGAAGAUGAACCUGCGUCUGAUUAGCUAGUUGGCGGGGUAACGGCCCACCAAGGCAACGAUCAGUAGCUGGUCUGAGAGGAUGAUCAGCCACACUGGAACUGAGACACGGUCCAGACUCCUACGGGAGGCAGCAGUAAGGAAUAUUGCUCAAUGGGAGAAAUCCUGAAGCAGCAACGCCGCGUGAGGGACGAAGGGCUUUUGCUUGUAAACCUCUGUAGUGAGAGAAAAAAAUCCCAAUCUUUGGGACAUGAUGGUAUCUCAAAAGUAAGCCCCGGCUAACUACGUG
rnacentral:rRNA from 1 species